rnacentral:lncRNA from 1 species
ACGGCGGCGGCGACGGCGCCGCCGCGGGGCAUCGCCCUCCACGCUGGCUGCGCGCUCGCAGCGCUCCCUGCCCUCAGUACUCACAGCUGGCCCGCUUCAGUGCGCGGUAACAAAGGCCGAAAGAGAUAAACAAUUCCCGGCGUGAGGCGACGGUAGCCAGACCGGGACCUCCUAAAGCAGCACCCGAGCAAGCGCGGAGUGAUGACGCAACAGGCCGUUUGGGCUUUUUUUUCCCCCUGUCCAAACGGAGCUAGAUCGGAAAAUGUCCUCGGUGUGCGCUGUUGCCACGGUGAGAGAACUCACUGCAUUCAAAGCAGAAUCAACCUUCAAUAUUGAAGAUUUCAGAUUUGGAGAAUCAAAUACAUAUCUUUCUCUGGUCCUUUGCCUUGGGUCUGGACAAGCUGCUGGUAGAAGCUCCUGUCUUAAAACCAGGAAUGGUCUCCAUCAUCCACACUCCAUCUCCCCAAGCAACAUUGGCAGGUGGGCCAUGCAGCAGAGGCACCCAAAUUUUUCUUGGUGUGCUGGCUGUCACUCCUGCUCUGGGCACCCACUCUGGCUGCUGGAUGUUCCAUUUUGGCUGGGAUUUCAAGUGCCCUGUGUUGCACCGAAUGAAUUUCCAUUGCCAAUAGGGUGCAUGCCAGCACUGGUGGUGGUGUCAGUGGCAGCAGGGAGAGCCAGGGCAUGCUGCAGUCACAUCCUACCUAUUUGGUUCCAGCGCAUAUGCCAGUAGUUGGUGGUGCACGCCUAUUGCUGUGGCUAGACUGGGCACGUGGACACACAGGUGGCUGGGAAAUCCCAGCUGAGUCUGCCUAAGACUGGAGCACAAGCACAGAGCCCUCCCUGAACCCAUCCUGUUCCCUCCCCUGGUGGUGCUGUGCCUUGCUGAACUAGCCAGGUGCAAUUUAAAACAGUUUUUUUC